UGUUGGCGGGCAGAACGGGGUCGGAGCUGGUUGUUAGCGACGCGGCGGAGGCUAUUGUGUGAUUCAGCAGCGAAGCACAUUGCGGGAGAAGUCGCUCCACACACGCCGCCGAGCCUUCGGGUAGUUUUUUUGGUCGCCUCUGGCCUGUCUUCGGCUCGUUCCUCGUCCCCAGCAGACGCUCAAAUCUCGGCGUCUCCACUCGGGCCUGCCCUUAGCCCAUACAAGCGCUCCGAAGCUUUCUCUUUAAAGAUUUCUUCAGUCCAUCACACCAGCAGCACCAGUUGGGGUCCAACGACUGACUGACAUAUAAGCUACCCAACAAAUAUGGACCCUGCAGGACCCACCCUUCUAGCCAGAUCUCUCAAUGAUGAGCUGUCCUCAGCAGACGUCAAGCUGGCGGCCGUAGCAGGAAAGAAGGGCAAGAAGGCCGAGGAGGAGGAGCAGCCUGCAGCACCUGCAGCAGCACCGCCGGCACCACCACCAGCAGCAGCAGCAGCAACG